rnacentral:rRNA from 1 species
UUGGGCGUAAAGCGAGCGCAGGCGGUUAGAUAAGUCUGAAGUUAAAGGCUGUGGCUUAACCAUAGUACGCUUUGGAAACUGUUUAACUUGAGUGCAGAAGGGGAGAGUGGAAUUCCAUGUGUAGCGGUGAAAUGCGUAGAUAUAUGGAGGAACACCGGUGGCGAAAGCGGCUCUCUGGUCUGUAACUGACGCUGAGGCUCGAAAGCGUGGGGAGCGAACAGGAUUAGAUACCCUGGUAGUCCACGCUGUAAACGUUGGGCACUAGGUGUGGGGGCCACCCGUGGUUUCUGCGCCGUAGCUAACGCUUUAAGUGCCCCGCCUGGGGAGUACGGCCGCAAGGCUAAAACUCAAAGGAAUUGACGGGGGCCCGCACAAGCGGCGGAGCAUGCGGAUUAAUUCGAUGCAACGCGAAGAACCUUACCAAGGCUUGACAUGCACGGCGGCACUGCAGAGAUGUGGUGGCAUUUGGUUGGUCGUGUGCAGGUGGUGCAUGGUUGUCGUCAGCUCGUGUCGUGA